UCUGGGUUUGUUGAAGGCAGAGU
rnacentral:piRNA from 1 species